GGCGGACGGGUGAGUAAUGUCUGGGAAACUGCCUGAUGGAGGGGGAUAACUACUGGAAACGGUGGCUAAUACCGCAUAACGUCGCAAGACCAAAGAGGGGGACCUUCGGGCCUCUUGCCAUCAGAUGUGCCCAGAUGGGAUUAGCUAGUAGGUGGGGUAACGGCUCACCUAGGCGACGAUCCCUAGCUGGUCUGAGAGGAUGACCAGCCACACUGGAACUGAGACACGGUCCGGACUCCUACGGGAGGCAGCAGUGGGGAAUAUUGCACAAUGGGCGCAAGCCUGAUGCAGCCAUGCCGCGUGUAUGAAGAAGGCCUUCGGGUUGUAAAGUACUUUCAGCGGGGAGGAAGGU
rnacentral:rRNA from 1 species